CAAAGGUGAGUGAGUCCCAGACUCUGGCUGGCAGAAGGAGUAGACAUUUUGAAAAGAAAUUUCAAGUGUGGAAGAAGCUAACUGCUGAAUUUAAGAGGAUUACAACCAUCAGUUUGCUGUCAAAGUUCUUCUCCCAGCUGGAUGCUCAUUCUUCAAACUUGAUGAGGGUGUUUGGCAAGAAAGGCGGCGUUCAAGGAAGAAAGAUAAGGAGCAUCAUGAUACCCAUCACCAAGACUGACGCCAUUGAUGUCAAAAGAGAGUGAAUCAUCAAAGCCCGGUGUGUGUACCUGAAUGAAGAGCCCGAGAACCUUGUGAAAGAAUACAUGAACACAGAUUGUGGGAGCAGUGAAGCUGCAGUGAUGGAGACGACAUUUGGAAUAUUUGUCAUUCGCAAGGAAGGUGCAGAGCCAGGUGAUGGACCGGAAGAUGUAGGUAUAGUUCUGGAUGGGCUCGGAAACGUGCCACUUGCUGUGGUCAUGUUGUUUGCGCUUGUAUAUGCGCUUAACCUCAGCUACCCGCCAGAGCUCAGAUACACCUUUGAAGCUUUGCAGAAGAUCAUCGUGGAGCUUGAUGGAAACAUACUCUCAAAAAAAACUCAAACACUGAAAACUCUACUUGCGUGUUAGUCACCCUCAAUAGAGUAAACUACAGGUUUGGAGUUACUCUAAUGGGAAGGCAUUUGAAGCCAUUUGAGUAGUUACUGAACUGAAAGCU